UCGGACGUGGUGCACGGCGCACACCCGUUUUCUAUGUCGAAUAAGAGAUAGUGUGUGGGAAGCCCGGGUUCGAUUCCCGGCGUCUGAA